UACGUAGGGUGCAAGCGUUGUCCGGAAUUAUUGGGCGUAAAGAGCUCGUAGGCGGUUUGUUACGUCGGCUGUGAAAACCUGGGGCUCAACCCCGGGCCGGCAGCCGAUACGGGCAGACGUAGAAUUCGGUAGGGGAGACGUGGGAAUUCCUGGUGUAGCGGUGAAAUGCGCAGAUAUCAGGAGGAACACCGGUGGCGAAGGCGGG
rnacentral:rRNA from 1 species